rnacentral:rRNA from 1 species
UACGGAGGGGGCCAGCGUUGUUCGGAAUUAUUGGGCGUAAAGCGCACGUAGGCGGCUUGUUAAGUCAGGGGUGAAAUCCUGGAGCUCAACUCCAGAACUGCCUUUGAUACUGGCGAGCUUGAGUUCGGGAGAGGUGAGUGGAACUGCGAGUGUAGAGGUGAAAUUCGUAGAUAUUCGCAAGAACACCAGUGGCGAAGGCGGCUCACUGGCCCGAUACUGACGCUGAGGUGCGAAAGCGUGGGUAGCAAACAGG